rnacentral:lncRNA from 1 species
UUGCAGGAACAAAAUGUGACUGAGUGUAGUGAGUGUGUGACGGCCGUGUGAAGAAGCGUCCUCUCUCCCUCCCAGGAGGCACUGCCAGACAGAGUUAAGGGAGUUUAAUGAGAAGCACGUCUGCACUUGUGUGCUCGCCUAGACGCUGUCUCUCAGCAGUACAAGAGACCGCUGUCAUGUGGUCUGCAGACCAGUGUGGAACAGCUCUCUCCUCCACAUUAGUGAGACUCACCUGAUAAGCGCAGCCGCACCAUGCCGGGCCCAAGAGCUCCCAGCUCCCACUCCCAGCAGCAGGCACUGCGAGCAAGACUGGCCGCCGGAUUCCAGCGAGGAGGGGCUCCCGCGGCCCCGCUCCCCCUGCUCUGAUGGGAGAAGAGACGCCGCGGCCAGAGUCCUGCAGGCCCAGUGGAAGGUGUACAAGCACAAGAAAAAAAAGGCUGUUCUGGAUGAGGCGGCUGUGGUGCUUCAGGCAGCUUUCAGGGGACAUCUCACGCGGACAAAGCUCUUAGCAAGCAAAGCACAUGGCUCAGAGCCACCCAGCGUGCCAGGCCUCCCAGACCAGAGCUCUCCUGUGCCCCGCGUUCCGAGCCCCAUCGCCCAGGCCACGGGCAGCCCUGUGCAGGAGGAGGCCAUCGUCAUCAUCCAGUCCGCUCUGCGGGCACACCUGGCCCGGGCCAGGCACAGUGCUACCG